rnacentral:rRNA from 1 species
UACGUAGGUGGCGAGCGUUGUCCGGAUUUACUGGGCGUAAAGAGCGCGCAGGCGGUCGUUCAAGUCGCGUGUGAAAGCCCCCGGCUCAACUGGGGAGGGUCAUUCGAUACUGUUCGACUCGAAGGCAGGAGAGGGAAGUGGAAUUCCCGGUGUAGUGGUGAAAUGCGUAGAUAUCGGGAGGAACACCAGUGGCGAAGGCGACUUCCUGGCCUGUUCUUGACGCUGAGGCGCGAAAGCUAGGGGAGCAAACGGG